rnacentral:misc_RNA from 1 species
UUAAGUUCAGCGGGUAUCCCUACCCGAUCCGAGGUCAACCUGUGAUAAGAGGUUUAACGGCGCGUCCGGUCGUCCUCGCCAGCGAAUUGAAUGACCACAACGCUGAGAUUCGAACCGUCCAGCCGAUGAAUUAGGGGCGCGGGGUCUCCCGACGCCCAAUACCAAGCCAGGCUUGAUUGGUGUAAUGACGCUCGAACGGG